rnacentral:tRNA from 1 species
GGGAGUGUAACUCAGUGGUAGAGUGCUUGCCUAGUGCAUGCAAGGCCCUGGGUUCCAGCCCUAGCACUGCUA